rnacentral:lncRNA from 1 species
GAGAAAAGUUCAGAUUUUAGACGUCAUAGGGAGACUAAAGCAAGGCUCACAUGUAUACUUUGCUGAUGGUCUCGGAGGUGGUGCUCAUGAUGGGGGAGGUGCUGAUGGAGAUGUUGAGAGGCGGUGAUGAAGACAGGGAAACCAAGUGGUUAAAUGACUUCUUUGGAUGAGUUCAGAAGAGGCACCUGAGCCAAGGAUCCAAGUCAGGGACACUAGGCUUCUGCACCCAGCUGGGGCCGUUCAGACUGAUACAGAUGUGAAGAUGGCGGACUUUUCUGAGUGACUUAUCAGAAGGAUGGCGGGAUGGCUUUCAGCCAGCCGUUGAACUCACUCUGGAUGGUUGUCAAGGAUGAAAGUUCUAUUGGCAGAUCUCUCCCAUGAAAUGUGUGUGUCUGUGUUUUAUUUAUUUAUUUUUAACUUUUUCGCUCACCUGACUCCUCACUGGUUUGGUUGAUCUGUAUCAUGGCAUUUAUCUGCUUGUCUCUGGAGUGUUAGACCACGUAGGGGUAAAGAUGUGGGCACCAUGCCAGGACCCAAACUUGUGAGUGUGCCAGCCAAAACCAAUUUCUGACUCACCAGGAAAUGACGUGCUAGGAGCUCUUAAGAUGCCAGUGUAUUUUUCUAGGGCAAUGCCUUGACCAAAUGACCUUGCACAUCUGCCUCCUUCCCAUCUCCAUGUUCCCACCCUGUGGUCACUCCAUUAAUUGGGAUGAAUAAAAUAUCCUCUCAAGUUAAUCUCC